GCGGGAGAAGUGGGCAACGUGGAGGAGCUGAGGUUGGAGGACGGCCCGGUCACUCUCAUGUUCCUGGGAUACAUGGACGAAGACCAAGGAGACGGCCGGGAGGAGCAUCAAGGCAUGUUGACCGCGGAGCACGUGAUCAUCACCGAGGAGGGAGAAGAGCGCGUCUUCGAAACCGAGACGUCCGCUUCACCUCAGGAAGGGAGAGAGUCCCGCGUGUCUCAGGACGUCCCCCUGGAUGGACACAGGGCCGGGAUUGAGGUCCAGGGAGAGGCAGGAGAUAAUGGGGGGCAGAAGUCGGCCUCCGCCGGUAAAGCCACCACCAAGCCCAAGACCUGCCAGUGUUGCAACGUCAUGUAAGAAGAGAUCAACCUCCAUCGUGUCAUCGGUGCCUGAAAGUCGACGAUGGCGCAUUGGAGUAGAGAGGGUGCGCCGUGAACCGCAAGGUUGGCGGUUCAAGCCCCGGCUGCUUCAUGUCCCCUGUCGAAGUGUCCCUGAGCAACACCUAACCCCUAAUUGCUCCCCGGGCAAAAAUGUAUAAAGCCAUGGGUUCAAAAUGCAGUCGCUUUGGAUAAAAGCGUCAGCUAAAUGACCUGUAAUGUAAAGGACUGGUAUGGAAGACGAGACCACCACAUCAUGUUCUCUCAACGACGUGGCUUUACUUUACCGUCGCAUCCCGUUGUGGGUCUUUCAUAGCAGGGAAAACGACCCGCGAGCCACUUCCUCCCUCUGGUGGACAAAGCCGAGAAUGUCAACAUGUCCUUGCAUAAUUUGCAUCAAAUGUCUCCAGUCCCUCAGGACUUCUUCUGUGGCUUUCCAUAUGUUUAGCUGUUGUUUUUCACUACCAAUGUAAAAAAGCCAAAGAGCAGAACAAUCACAUAAUACUACCAUCCUUUGACCUUUUUUAAUGGAAUUGGAGGAGUUCGUAUUCUACGACUAAACCUUUUUUUGAAUGUUGAGUUUCAUCUACUAGACUGGUCCUUUGGACGAGAUCCACUCAGCCAAACCACUUCACACUUGGCUUCCUCGGCUCCUGAGCAAACCCGACAGGGGAAGAGAGAGAAAAAAAACGACCUUUGUGUGUGUGCUUCAAAGGCUUGUAACCAUGGAAACCCCCAAAAACAGCCCCAGCCCUCGAAUCCCGGUGACCCGUGAUGAUAGCGGCCUGUGGAUGAGGAUGGACUCCGACCCUCUGAUGGACCACACAGGGGGCCGCGGGCGGAAGCCCCGAGAGGCGACCACGGACCCCCCGCGUGGCCCGGCAGUGAUCACCAGGUAUUACAGUGUGAUGGACGACGACGACAACAACUUUGUCCCACCUCCUCCGCCUGACGCGGCUCCUUCUCUGCACGCAGAUGCUCAGGUGAAUAAUUCCAACGUGACCUUUACAAAGGGGUCAGCUGAAGAUAAUCCCAGUGGCUUAGGUUGGCAUCCUGGGGAGAGCCGGCUAAUGGCAACGCAGAGCGCAGCGGAGCAAGUGAACACCGAGCAGACGUCUACGGACGGCGCAUCCCCGCCUGAAGUCUCCAUUCUACCUGAAGAACAAGACCUGACAUCAAUGGAGGGAGCAUGUUGUGAUCCAACCCAAAGACGCCAUCAUGGCAGAACAGCGGGCGGCGAGCAAUCGGAGCCUGAGGAUAUUUUGAGUGAGGGGCAGAAACGGUGCAGAGAGGCUCAAAGCAACAAGAACCCAAAACAGGUACCUUCAAACAUUGGGGAGAACUCUGAAAACACACAGAAUUUUGACAAAGAGGGAGAAUCAAUGUGUGGCUUUGCUAAGACGUACUCAGCCGUGCAACAUGCUGACUUUGGUGAAGAUUUUGAGUCCAAUGAGCCUCCGGAGCCCUCCAAAAGACCCCAAAACCCGACGGACGCAGCGACCUGUCGGCCGUACGUACCAGAGGUCCCAGUGGAGGAGUCCAAUGGACACUCCAUCUCCGACGGCUCCGAAGAGACAGGGCAGGGAGAUGGGAGCAGGAGAAUAUCUAAUGGUAUCCAGCAAGGAGAGCAGCUGCUUCAACGUCUGCAGCUGGUCCAGCUGCGUCAGGACGUGUCUCUACCCGGGAGCCCUGACGCCUCCCAGCAGGCUGUCCGAGAGACACGAGGCGAGACAAGGAGCGCACCUGGGAGUGACGUAGGCGAUUCGAAAGCAAGGGGAGCCCACUUGACGGGUGAGAAUGAGGAAGAAGAGAGCGGGGGAGAGAGAUGGAAGCCGAUGGCGGUGGAAGGGAGUGGGAGGUAUGCCGUGGAACUGGAGGCUGGGAUGUCUUUGUUAAUGCCGACGGUGCAGUCAGGGCAGCACAACACCACCAUGGCAGAGGCAGGAGACUAUGAGGAAGAUCAAAGGGACCCCGGUGAAACCUCCUCCACCCAGAAUCCCUUUCUCUCCACCUGCCACCGACUCUCGGCCUCCGAGGCCUGGGUUGAGGGGCGGAGCCCCAGCGAGGCCCUGGGGAGCCUGCAGAGAGCAAGCGGCAUCUUCGACGUCGCCGAUGAUCCAGACGUGCUGGAGAUCCCCUUCAAGAACCAUAUUACGCUCGACCCCUUCCCCACCGAGGAUGGCGGCGACUGGCAGUUCUCCUCGCAGAAGAUGAAAAAGGAGAUAAGCCAGGAGACGCGGAGGGAGCUGGUGCUGGUCAACCAGGGCAAGAUCCCGGGGGGGUACAGCAAAGGAGAGGUCCGCCAGCGGAAGGAGACAAAGCUCCUGUUCGAGGCCUUCCAGCAGAUCAACACGGAUGGUCCGGCAAGGCCCCCAAGACCCAUCGUGAAAGGUCACGUUUACCCCUCUGUGCUGGAGCGCACCCGCAGCAUGGAGAUGCUGUCGCUCAAAAGUCGGCCCGUCUGCAGAACACAAUCCUUCCGGCUGAUUAAGGAGAGCGAGAAACACGCAGAAAUCCUCAGGCCAUCGAGCCUAAAGAGCGGUUCUCUGGACAAAGCGCGCCCCUCUCACUCCGCAAGACACAAGGAGCGCGCGCAGCCGAGCGGUAGCGCGGACUCCGGCGGGGAUGCCGGGAGCAGAGACACGGAGGCCAACGGCCCGAAAGAAUGUCCCGCCGUCAGGGGAAACCCCUUCUUCAAGCUGCGCCCGGCCCUUGCUCUGAAGCCAGAGGUAGAGAAGGACAUCCGGGAGGCCAAGGAGAGAGAGGAAGAGCUGCGCAGACAGAGAUGCACCCUGUACGGGGAGAACGGGCCGAGGGGUGAAGACGGAGAGGGGUCAAGGUUCAAACCGACGCUCGCCACAGACGUCAGGAAACAAUUGAGGGGAAAACUGGAACGCGUAUGGCCGCCGCCCUCCAAGAAGGACCAGAAGAAUUCGGAGCAGACGCAGCAGGAGGCAAAGGUUCACCGGGUGGGAGGUCAGAGGGCGUCUCUGUGGCAGCGCUGGGAGUCCGGCCUGAUCAACGGGAAGACGCCAAAGGAAAAAAAAUGAGGUCGGCCAUGUUGAAUAUAUCCACCAUCUGCAAUGCUAGAGCUGCUCCAGUCCAAGAUGGAUCAAUGGAACCGAGGUCCAGAAGUUAGUUCCGGCUUGUACGCUUUUUCUCUCUUCCACUGUGGCUCUGUCUCAGUGUCGACCAGCAGUUUUGAUAUUUUUAAAAGUCUAGGUGUAUUCAGCGGGUAAAUAAAGCAAAAGCGUAACACGUUAAGGGGAAGACGCCAGUCAGUUUACUGCUAUCUUACCGGUUAUGGAUUUUUCUAAUUUCUAUAAACUGUCAAGUUGGAAUGUAAUGUCGUAAUGAAGCUGUCAUUUUUCUCUUUUCAUAAGUUCCCGCAGCAAAUCUCCAUUAGAUCGUUUGCAUUGAGAUUUGAAUAAAUUAGAGAAAAAAACUCUGGCUUGUAAA
ensembl:lncRNA